rnacentral:rRNA from 1 species
GACGAACGCUGGCGGCGUGCUUAACACAUGCAAGUCGAACGAUCAAGAAGAGAAACUCGAACUUCGAUUCAAAUUUCACUCCGGAUUAGUGGCAGACGGGUGAGUACCUCUUGAGCAGCCUACCUCUUACAAAGGGAUAGCCUCUGGCAACCGUGAUUAAUACCCUCUGACACCUUCAUAAAGCAUCUUUAUAAUGUUAAGCGUCCGGCGGUAAGAGAUGGGCUGGCGUCCCAUUCGCUAGUGGGUGAGGUAACGGCCCACCAAAGCGACGAAGGGUACCCGGCAGGGGAGGGUGAACCGUCACAUUGGAGCUGGGCAACGGUCGAAACUCCUACGGGAGGGAGGAGUGGGGAAUAUUGCACAAUGGAGGGAACUCAGAUGGAGCGAGGACGGGUGAGCGAUGAAGUAAUUCGUGUAGUAAAGCUCUGUUCUAUGGGAAGAAAAGGACUGUACCAUAGGAGAAAGCCCCGGCUAAAUACGUG